rnacentral:rRNA from 1 species
GGGUCAGUAGGUUGGUCGUGCCACCGGUACGUACUGGUCUCAUUGAUUCCUCCUUCCUGAAGAACCGUAAUGCCAUUAAUUUGGUGUUGCGGGGAAACAGGACUGUUACUUUGAAAAAAUUGGAGUGUUUAAAGCAAGCUAACGCUUGAAUACAUUAGCAUGGAAUAAUGAAAUAGGACGAUCGAUCCUAUUUUGUUGGUUUCUAGGAUUGACGUA